CUACCCUUACAAUGAUCCCCAAAGGGAAUCAAAUACAACUUCUCCCAUACAUGCUGCUGAUACAGACAUUCCCAAGACUGGGUAAUUUAUAAAGAAAAAGAGGUUUAGGCCAGGUGUGGUGGCUCAUGCCUGUAAUCCCAGCACUUUGGGAGGCUGAGGUGGGCGAAUUAUGAGGUCAGAAGUUCAAGACCAGCCUGGCCAACAUGGUGAAACCCUGUCUCUACUAAAACUCACUCACUCCCACAAGAAUGGCACGAAGCCAUUUAUGAGGAACCCAUCCCCAUGACCGUAAGUCUUGCAAGAAAAUUGUGGCAGGAUAUUGUCAUCAAGAAUGACCUAGGAGUACGAUAUAAGCUCUGAGCUUUUCAUAUGUGGCCUUUAUAUUGUUGAGGUAACAUUUCUUCUAGAUUUAAUUUGUUGGCUGUUCUUACCAUGAAAGGAUGUUAAAUUCUUUCCAA
rnacentral:lncRNA from 1 species